GGAAGAUGCAGCUCCUGCUCCCGAAAGAGACACACUGGACUCUUGUCCCUGAUAAUGAUUGAAAACCUGUCCCUGAGAAUUUAAGUCCUUCUCCUGGUACCUGCUCUUCUAGUGAUAUCAGUGACAUCGUACCCCAGAACCUCCCUCGGGUCUCUCUGCCCAGCGACACCACUCUCUCCGCCCCCUGGCACCAGCGUGAAGUCAAAGCCGCCGGCGGAAACCCUGCUGGCCUUCCCCAGAGCCGGUCUGCAGGCCCCGCUGUGGGACCCUGUCCUCCAGGAGUGCUCCUCCUGCACACAGGU
rnacentral:lncRNA from 1 species